GACGAACGCUGGCGGCGUGCUUAACACAUGCAAGUCGAACGAAGUGGCGAACGGGUGAGUAACGCGUAAUCAACCUGCCCUUCAGAGGGGGACAACAGUUGGAACGGACUGCUAAUACCGCAUACUGAAGGAGGGGUUGGCGUCGGGUUAGCUAGUUGGUGGGGUAACGGCCAACCAAGGCGAGGAUAAGUAGCCGGUCUGGGAGGGUGAACGGGCACAUUGGGACUGGGCAACGGCCCAGACUCCUACGGGAGGCAGCAGGGGGGAAUCUUCCGCAAUGGACGUAAGUCUGACGGAGCAACGCCGCGUGAGAGAUGACGGCCUUCGGGUUGUAAAGCUCUGUUAAUCGGGACGCGGUACCGGCAUAGAAAGCCACGGCUAACUACGUGCCAGCAGCCGCGGUAAUAC
rnacentral:rRNA from 1 species